rnacentral:tRNA from 1 species
CUUAGCUCAGCAGGAUAGAGCAUCGGACUUCUAAUCCGGCGGUCGAGGGUUCGAAUCCCCCAG